GGGGAUUUAGCUCAGUGGUAGAGCGCUUGCCUAGCAAGCGCAAGGCCAUGGGUUCAGUUCCCA
rnacentral:tRNA from 1 species